UUUGUCGAUCGCAGCUAACUGCAGUCGAACGGAUGACGGAGAGCUUGCUCUCGAUCGACGAGUGACGGACGAGUGAUGUAUGUCAGGCAAACUGGCUGAGGGAGAGAGAUAACUACUGCAAACGGUAACUAAUACCGCAUAAUGUCGCGAGAACAAGGAGGAGCGUAUCCUUCCGUGCCUCUUGCCAACGAAUGUGCCCCGAUAGUAAUUAGCUAGUAGGUGGAGUAGACGUACUCACCUAAGCAACCAUCCCUGGCUGUGACUGAAAGAAUGACCACCCACACAUGUAACUGACACACCGUACACACUCCUACAGGAGGCAUGAGUGAAUAAAUAUUGCAGAAUGAGCGCCAGCACUGAUGCAUGCCUGCCGCGUGAAUGAAAGAACUGCCUACUGGUUGUAAAUUACUUUCAGCGAGGAAGGAAAGUGUUGUGAUUAAUAUACCUGCAUUUGAUUGACCCUACCCACAAAACAACCACCUGCUAACUCCCUGCCACCAGCCGCAAUAAUAACGGAGGGUGCAAGCGUCAAUACUUAAUUACUGGGAAUAAAGCGCACGCAGGCUGUCUGUCAAGUAUGAUAGAAAAUCCCCGGCCUCAACCUGACAACUGCAUUCAAAACUGAGCUGCUAUAAGUCUUGAUAGGAUGGUGGAAUUAAUUCAUGUGUAGCGGUGAAAUGCGUAGAUAUUAGGAAGGAACACCGGUGGCGAAGGCGGCCCCCUGGACAAAGACUGACGCUCAGGUGCGAAAGCGUGGGGAGCAAACAGGAUCAGAUACCCUGGUAGUCCACGCCGUAAACGAUGUCGAUUAGGAGUUUGUAUCCUUGAGAUGUGGCUUCCGCAGCUAACGCGAUAAAUCGACCGCCUGGGGAGUACGGCCGCAAGGUUAAAACUCAAAUGAAUUGACGGGGGCCCGCACAAGCGGUGGAGCAUGUGGUUUAAUUCGAUGCAACGCGAAGAACCUUACCUGGUCUUGACAUGCACAGAACUUUCCAGAGAUGGAUUGGUGCCUUCGGGAACUCAGAGACAGGUGCUGCAUGGCUGUCGUCAGCUCGUGUUGUGAAAUGUUGGGUUAAGUCCCGCAACGAGCGCAACCCUUAUCCUUAGUUGCCAGCGCUUAGGCCGGGCACUCAAAGGAGACUGCCGGUGCUAAACUGGAGGAAGGUGGGGAUGACGUCAAGUCAUCAUGGCCCUUACGACCAGGGCUACACACGUGCUACAAUGGCGCAUACAAAGAGAAGCGAACCUCGCGAGAGGCAAGCGGAUCCUCAUAAAGUGCGUCGUAGUCCGGAUCGCAGUCUGCAACUCGACUCCAUGAAGUCGGAAUCGCUAGUAAUCGUAGAUCAGAAGGCUCCGGGGAAUCGUUUCCCGGCCCUUGUCCACACGCCCCGUCCCACCAGGGGAGGGGGUUGCAAAAGAAGAAGGUAGCUUAACCUUCAGGAGGGCGGUGACCACUUUUGAUUCAUGCCUGGGGAAGUGAAUCAGAGCAGCAAAA
rnacentral:rRNA from 1 species